CCCAGUGUUCAGACUACCUGUUCAGGCUCUUACUGGUGUACAGUAGUCUGCACAUUGGUUA
ensembl:miRNA gmo-mir-199-1 gmo-mir-199-1